rnacentral:rRNA from 1 species
GUGGGGAAUAUUGGACAAUGGGGGGAACCCUGAUCCAGCCAUGCCGCGUGUGUGAAGAAGGCCUUUUGGUUGUAAAGCACUUUAAGCGAGGAGGAGGCUACCGAGAUUAAUACUCUUGGAUAGUGGACGUUACUCGCAGAAUAAGCACCGGCUAACUCUGUGCCAGCAGCCGCGGUAAUACAGAGGGUGCGAGCGUUAAUCGGAGUUACUGGGCGUAAAGCGUGCGUAGGCGGCUUUUUAAGUCGGAUGUGAAAUCCCCGAGCUUAACGUGGGAAUUGCAUUCGAUACUGGGAAGCUAGAGUAUGGGAGAGGAUGGUAGAAUUCCAGGUGUAGCGGUGAAAUGCGUAGAGAACUGGAGGAAUACCGAUGGCGAAGGCAGCCAUCUGGCCUAAUACUGACGCUGAGGUACGAAAGCAUGGGGAGCAAACAGGAUUAGAUACCCCUGUAGUCC